rnacentral:snRNA from 1 species
GUGCUCGUUUCAGCAGCACAUUUACUAAAAUUGGAAUGAUAUAGAGAAGAUUAGCAUGGCCCCUGUGGAAGGAUGACACACAAAUUCAUGAAGCGUUCCCUAUUUAA